GACAGAGGAUGCAAGCGUUAUCCGGAAUGAUUGGGCGUAAAGCGUCUGUAGGUGGCUUUUAAGUCCGCCGUCAAAUCCCAGGGGCUCAACCCUGGACAGGCGGUGGAAACUACCAAGCUGGAGUACGGUAGGGGGCAGAGGGGAAUUUCCGGUGGAGCGGUGAAAUGCGUAGAGAUCGGAAAGAACACCAACGGCGAAAGCACUCUGCUGGGCCGACACUGACACUGAGAGACGAAAGCUAGGGGAGCGAAUGGG
rnacentral:rRNA from 1 species